rnacentral:rRNA from 1 species
UACGAAGGGGGCUAGCGUUGUUCGGAAUUACUGGGCGUAAAGGGCGCGUAGGCGGUGGAUCAAGUCAGGCGUGAAAGCCCCGGGCUCAACCUGGGAACCGCGCUUGAGGCUGGUGCGCUAGAGUUCGGGAGAGGAUGGUGGAAUUCCCAGUGUAGAGGUGAAAUUCGUAGAUAUUGGGAAGAACACCGAUGGCGAAGGCAGCCAUCUGGACCGACACUGACGCUGAGGCGCGAAAGCGUGGGGAGCAAACAGG